UAAAGAACUUUUAAAUUUUAAUUUAAAAAAAUCACACAACACAAUAACCAGACCUGUUCAAAGCGCAAUAAAAUCUCUACGUCUCCAUGAACUUCCAUCCAGGUGGAGCACUGUAGCUCUGAAGUGGUGGAGAUUCACAUUCGAUUCUACACUUUCUGUCUCUGGUACAAAAAACAUUUUAUUUGAUCAUGGAAAGUGACCAUGAACCUGUAAAUAGUCACGUUAUACAUUAUAUAUAUUAUAUAUAAUCAAUGUGACUCCUAUGUUACCUGCUUCUCAUAUUUUUCUUUUCCUUUUCUGAUUUUAUAGAUUUCCUUUAAAUGUGUUUCAGGCAUAUACAAACAUGCAUGUACAGAUAAAUGUUGAUAGUUGUAUAAACCCAUGUUCAAGCUGAUGAAUAUAUGCAUCACCCCAAAACGUCCUCAUGCUGUUUGUCCUCUGAACGACCAGCUCCUUUACACAGGCGCCAGGCAACACCGGAUUCACUUUCUGUAAAACUCAGCUACCUUUCUGCUCAAGGCUCAGUAAAAACAGAUCCAUACAAUCUGUCCUUUAUAACUUGCCUCUUUCACUUAGCAUAAUGAUUUUUCUAACAUUAAAUUUUUUAAGCAUUGAACAUUAAUAAUAACUGAUUUAGCCCUUAUUUUAAAUGUGUGUAUGAGCGCUUUGGCUAAGUGCAUAUCUGUGUAGAAGUAGUUGAGACAGUGAGACGAGCAAAAAUCUGCCAGCAGCAGCCGAGGACCAAACAUUAGCAGAAGGAGCUCCGACUCCUGGUUCCUGCCACACAGUCAGCAAGGACUCACUUGAGAGCCUUUUGCUUUGCUGUUUGUUUUGUUUGGAGGGAGGGGCUGAGACUCGGUCUUACUCUGUAACCUAGAGUCACUAAAUUCAUAAAAUCUCUCCCUACCCCGUGGACUCCCUGUGUGAGCCACCACACGCAGCUCACUCAGCUGGUUUGAAGGACUUUUCUGACAGAGGCACAGUCGUCCUUUUGCAGGUUACAUACAGCAGCUUCCCUUAUGACUGUUUUAACUCCUGCCGGAGCGAUCAGGAUACGGUCCUUCGGGGUUCGACUUUUGAUAUUCCCCAAGAUGCUUUUCGAGAGACGGAGCGGUGGUAAGAGUCUCAACUCCCACUGUUCACGGGACCAUUGGGGGGAAAAACUCACUGUUCUAUUGGCUCAAUAGCGACGCUUAAUUAAUGGGGUUUAUCAAAUGUAUUUUGACCUAAGAUAUUUUCGACUUUCAAUAGCGUAUCAGGAAGUUACCCCAUGGUGGCCGGUUGAACAGAGCACGCCAGAAUGGGGACCAUGGUCCUGGCCCGAGGAGAGUCCCAGAUCCUUCCUUCCCCCUGACUGUCCUGCAGUGACUGGAGAUAAUUUCUACACCCACCCUCACCACGCAAACAGACCAACUAUCUCCUCUAAGACCCCGGGAACCUACAGAGACUGACUCACAAUGAAACCCUGCUCCUUCCUCCUUCCACCCUCCACUUUAAUUUGCUACAGAGGGAGAGUGAUCUAAAAGGUCUCAUCUCAUCCAAAUGCAGAUAAAUGUGGCCUGCUUUGAGCAUACAGUACCCACGCCAGCUGAGAGGUCUGCACCACUGUACAAUUGUCAAGGGAAAAAAAAAUUAGUGCUUCUAAUUCAAGGACAAAAAUAAAAUCGCUC
rnacentral:lncRNA from 1 species